CCACUACCUUGACCUCAAGAGAUUUCAAGGCAGAAUCCAGAUCAUCUAUGCCAUGGGUGGAGCUGAUAUCCUGAGACAGUGACAUCUUCCCUAUAUGGUACUGAGACACGAAGAGAGACAGUUUAUUUUUAUUUACGGAUUUUGUGCCCAGAAGGACGGUUAUAAAGGUGUGAAGACUGAAACAGAUCCUGAGCACAGAAGAGAGAAAGAAGAACAGGGGGAGGAAUCAUCAACAAUAGUAUUGCAAAGAGGUCACUACUGGAAUUUUAGUGGUGAUGUAGGAAUAAAAUUAAAUAUUGUCAGUUUGUCAUAUGAUGCCUUAUGCUUGGUGGCAAUCAAAAGGUGUUUAGGGAUGAGCAAAGACAUUACAUUUUAAUUAUAUGUAGAACAGCAAUCAAAUGAAAGAUGAUUUUUUUUAAUCAUUAAUUCAUUGACUGAUACUCGUAUAUUGUGCAAAAAAUGACUAGAAACGCGAGCAUUAAAUCAGUAUUUCUAUUCUGUUUUCACUCACAGAAGCAAAUUAAACUGCACUGCUGCUAGAUUAAUGGGUGUUGCCUGUGAAUUGUGGUUUAAAGGCUUUUGUUUUUGUCAUCCUGAAGUCUGACCUUUGUUUCCUGUGUGUGGUUGUAAGGCGUUGUGUGUGAGGCAGGUGGAAAGGUUUCUUUAGCUUUGCAAACCUCUACCCAAUUGAACCAACCUGCAGGGCUCCAAACAGCAUCAUUUCUUCCUCAGUGCAGUCUGUGUCCUCCAGCAGGAUUGCCCAGCGUGCCUGCUCAUACAGCUGCGUCAGACGUACCUUAUCGUACUGACAGAAAUAAGGUUUUGAGCCAGUAUUUCCAGAAUGCAUAUCAUAAUUUCUCAUCUGUAUUGCACAGUUCAGACUAAUAUGAGAUUUUCUCUUGUGGCACUCAGAAGCACACACACCUUAGGGUCCAUAUCAUAAAAGGUGUAGUAUUUGAAGCGGAGCCACAGCUUAUCGUUCUCCUGUAUCCCCUGCUGCAUGAGUGAGCGUGACGAAUCUAGCCAUCUGAAGGAAAAGAAAUAUUAUAGAGCUGUAUAAAUGUUUUGCAUUCACAAUAUGAAGAUCUGUUCAGUAGUGUUUGUUCAUACCUGGUGUGGAUGUGUGUUUUGUCUACCUUGCUGGCUGGUCGGUAGAGUUUAGCGAUGGUCUCUGGAGCAGGAGACGGCUGGCACAUAGACAGAAUUUUAUAGACUGCCUCAGUUUUAGGGGAGUCGGCGAAAUGAGCCGGCAUGCCGUCAUACAGAUAUGGAACUGAUCCUGAAAGUAUAGUUUGAUAUAGGUGAUAAAAAAAGACAUAUUCAACUGGGCUUAGAUAAAAUGUUUAGUCAGUGUGUAUUAGGGUAGUUCAUUUUUGAGAUUGUAAUGAUUUAAGCUACACAGUUGUGUGAAAUACCUGAUGUUAGUGGUACGUCUGUAAGGUCAUACUCCUCUUCCACAGAAUCUUUGUCUUUCUUUUUCUUUUUCUCCUCCACUGGCCUUAGCAGAGACAGUUCUUCUGGAUGGCGGAUGCCUAAGAGCGAAAGAAAUAGAUGGAAGGAAACAGAAUAAAGUAACCAAAAUCUUUCAUUCAUUCAAUUCACACAUUAAUUUAUCUUUAUUAGCCGAUUUAUCUUGGUCACGGGUGCACUGGGUCUCAAGCUAUUCCCAGAAACACCCAGAAACAUUCAGGCUUAGGAUUAAUUUAGCGUAGCCAUAUAGCAUGUUUUUGUGAGGUUGGAGGAAAACCAAGAGCUCUGAGAAAAUACACAUGGACACAAGGAAAUCAUGCAAUGCUCAACACCGAGCAUUGUGUCAGUAACCCGAGCUUAGGUACAAAUUAAAAAUGCUGGAACUGGGAGUUCACAACACUGCCCAUUUCACCACCAUGCCACUAUUCACCCAUUUAAGAACACCAUUGUUUCUAUUCACAAUAAUAAACUGAUCGUUGUGGUGGUUCCCCCUGCAAAAAAAAACCAACAAAAGCAAAAUAAAACACAGAUACACCUUCACUUUUCCCUCAUCGCAAAAAAAAAAUGCACUUGGAAACACUUCCAUCCUACUCCCAUCCCUUCAUCUAAUUGCAUUGUUAACUGGACAUCAUAAACAAAAAUAGACUUCAUGUUAACUAGACGGCAUCAGACUGACUAGGAUUUCUGUACGGUAUAUGAGCCACAAAAUAAAGUACAUAACAAGAAGCAUGCCCUUAACAAGCAAGGCCAUGAUUUGGGAUGCAAUCACUAAAGUAUGGCACAUUUAUUUUUGACCAAGAAAGGCUAUGAAUUUCACAGAUCUGCCACAAAACCCUGUUAGAUAUAGGAUAAUAGAAAUAAAUACACCUGCUGUAUUGUGCCACUGAAAUUUGUAGCGAGCUUUGAUAUAAUUUUGAACUUGCGCACCAUGUUAAAUUUCUUACUCAGAAUCCUGCAGAUUCCCUGGACAGUUCGAAACAAGGAGCUGGAGAAGCAGGCGCGGAGCCGCAAGGUGACUCCAUUAGGAAGGCCCAUCCGCAGAGGCUUGUGUUGAGUGGUAAAGAGCAGUCGAGCAUCGGCAUGAAUCCCACAUUUAUCAAGUGUCCAGGCUGUCCGCAAGACCCACUGCUGCUUCUGCUCCCACCAAAUUGCAUGAUCUGACCAGUCCUGCUGCAUCUCUAAUACCAGAGGUCAAAAUAUACAACCAUUAAUACAGGGGUUUUAACUCAUCACAUUACUCAGAAUAUAUUUACCUCACAUACAGUAUAAAUGAGCAUCUUAAGGAUCCUGUCUUGUUCAAAAUAUAUGCUAGAUGUCUUAUCACCUGUUUUAACUUUACAUGUGUAUCUCAUAAACGUUGCUAUGAAGUCUGUUUGUACGAAAGAAUUUUUGUUAAUAAUACCCUCCUCGAACUCCUCCACCCAUGCAGGAUGUCUGAUAUUGGAUAUAACUCACGUGUUUUUUCUACAAUUUUCAGAAUGACCCCGCCUAUAUGGAGGUCAGAGGUUACGCUGAUUUUAAGGGGUGGCGCAUCAGGGCCCAGCUCCUCCACAACGACUGACAGGUCCCAUGAAGCCAUCCUCGAAAAUAAAAUGAGAGAAAAAAUAUAAGCAAUAGAAGCAAGAAUCUCAUUUAAUGGACAUAUGCAUAGAGUAGUGCUACAAAUACUGUAAAAAUGUAAACAUGUUUAAAGGAGCAGUAUGUUAUUUUCAGAGUUCUCUGCAGUCUGCCGAGAAAAUUAGAAUUUUAUUUCAAAUCGUUAGGAAGCUUUGCCUUUUCACAUACAAAGCUUGGAAAAGUCAUGACUCAUGUGUUGCCUGGUGGAGUUUAUUUCUGGACCAGAAAAUUGUCAGUGUUUAUUUACAGCACUUGUAUGUGCUCAGUUCAGGAGUGGCUCUGGUACAGUACCAACCAAACUAUAAAGGCACAUAUAUAUUACAUAUAUAUUUCAUAAAUACAUAUGUAAUUCUCCCGGGUAAAGAAUUGUACAUGAGCACAUGUGAUAGUACAUUAUUUCUGUUUCUCUAGAAAAAAACAAACAUGUGCUUCAAAAGGUUAUUAUGAUGAUGAUGUACCUCAUGAUACAUGCUGUUAAAAAGAAUGACUUGUCUUGUCUACCACAUGUUAUGUGUGAUUGUGCUAGCACUCACACGUAUAUGGAGAAAUGCACACACUUCCUUCCACACACACACACACACACACACA